UUAUCAUUUGCUUUAUUAGAGAAUAUCAUGUUAGUAUUAGAAAACCACUAUAAAUACCUACCAUCAUGCAUUUAGGUACUCAACCUUAUCUGCUAGCUACUACAAGCUUCUACUUAUUACAGUUUGAGAGCUUAAUUGUUUCUUCUUGGAACCCAAGAAACCAAGCUGUUGCGUAUUCAGGUCAUUAUCACUGAUAUCACGACUCAUGAUUCAGGCCAUGCAGAGGAGGAGCAUCUCUUGCUUGCGUACUGCAGAGGAAGAUGAUUUUUGCACUACUUUUACAGCAUUUCUUGCUUGCUUACUGCAGAGGAGGAUGAUUUUUGCACUAGUUUUACAUAUAUGCUUGGGCUAUUGAAUAGUAUGAUUUUUGAAGUGAUCGCCAAACUUUGAAGGGAUUGUCUGUUUCUACUUGCCAUGUAUUAGUUGAUUAUUGAAAUUUCAGAUA